AGUGGAUGGGGAGCAACCUAGUUGUGCGUGUGUAAAGGUAGUGCCAAGAAAAGCGAUGAUCAUGUUGAAAAUCAAUUCCCGGUACCCGAAACCGACACAGGUGGGCAAGUAGAGAAUACUAAGGGGCGCGAGGUAACUCUCUCCAAGGAACUCGGCAAAAUGACCCCGUAACUUAGGGAGAAGGGGUGCCACCGAGAGGUGGUCGCAGUGAAGAGGCCCAGGCGACUGUUUAGCAAAAACAUAGGUCUCUGCAAACUCGAAAGAGGAGGUAUAGGGGCUGACGCCUGCCCAGUGCCGGAAGGUUAAGGAAGUUGGUCAGUUUUAGGAUGAAGCUAGCGACUGAAGCCCCGGUGAACGGCGGCCGUAACUAUAACGGUCCUAAGGUAGCGAAAUUCCUUGUCGGGUAAGUUCCGACCCGCACGAAAGGCGUAACGAUCUGGGCGCUGUCUCGGAGAGAGGCUCGGCGAAAUAGGAUUGUCUGCGAAGAUACGGACUACCUGCAUUUGGACAGAAAGACCCUAUGAAGCUUUACUAUAGCUUGGAAUUGUGUUCGGGCUUCCUGUGCGCAGGAUAGGUGGGAGGCGUAGAAGGUAUUCUUGUGGGGAUACUGGAGCCAACGGUGAGAUACCACUCUCAGGAGGCUAGAAUUCUAACUUAAUUAAGGACAGUUUCAGGUGGGUAGUUUGACUGGGGCGGUCGCCUCCAAAAAGGUAACGGAGGCGUACAAAGGUUCCCUCAGACUGGUUGGAAAUCAGUCGAAGAGUGCAAAGGCAGAAGGGAGCUUGACUGCGAGAAGUACAGUUCGAGCAGGGUGGAAACACGGUCUUAGUGAUCCGACGGUGCUGUGUGGAAGGGCCGUCGCUCAACGGAUAAAAGUUACUCUAGGAUAACAGGCUGAUCUCCCCCAAGAGUUCACAUCGACGGGGAGGUUUGGCACCUCGAUGUCGGCUCAUCGCAACCUGGGGCGGAAGUACGUCCCAAGGGUUGGGCUGUUCGCCCAUUAAAGCGGUACGUGAGCUGGGUUCAGAACGUCGUGAGACAGUUCGGUCCAUAUCCGAUGUAGGCGUGAGAAUAUUGAGAGGAGCCUUCCUUAGUACGAGAGGACCGGGAAGGACGCACCGCUGGUGUACCUGUUAUGAUGCCAAUUGUAAACGCAGGGUAGCCAAGUGCGGAGAGGAUAACCGCUGAAAGCAUCUAAGUGGGAAGCCCACCUCAAGAUGAGUAUUCUGGUGUAAGGUCACGGGAAGACGACCCGUAAAUAGGCACGAGGUGGAAGUGCAGAGAUGUAUGAAGCCGAAGUGUACUAAUAGACCGUCGGC
rnacentral:rRNA from 1 species